AUUGAACGCUGGCGGAAUGCUUUACACAUGCAAGUCGAACGGUAGAGGGGGCAACCCCUCGAGAGUGGCGAACGGGUGAGUAAUAUAUCGGAACGUGCCCAGUCGUGGGGGAUAACGUAGCGAAAGUUACGCUAAUACCGCAUACGAUCUACGGAUGAAAGCGGGGGAUCGCAAGACAUCGCGCGAUUGGAGCGGCCGAUAUCAGAUUAGGUAGUUGGUGGGGUAAAGGCUCACCAAGCCAACGAUCUGUAGCUGGUCUGAGAGGACGACCAGCCACACUGGAACUGAGACACGGUCCAGACUCCUACGGGAGGCAGCAGUGGGGAAUUUUGGACAAUGGACGCAAGUCUGAUCCAGCCAUUCCGCGUGCAGGAUGAAGGCCCUCGGGUUGUAAACUGCUUUUGUACGGAACGAAAAGGUUUCCAUUAAUACUGGGAGCUCAUGACGGUACCGUAAGAAUAAGCACCGGCUAACUACGUGCCAGCCGCCGCCGUAA
rnacentral:rRNA from 1 species